AUUUCCCAACAGCUAGAAGACGUACACAUUAAAGACCAGUAUGAAGCGAACACGGACGGACUUUAAGAUAACUUUUUAAGAGAUUUCAGAUCUGUUAUGUAAAGAUGUAAGACAAACAACUACAGCAAGAAUGAAAAGCUGCUCAGAGCCAACGACAACAUUUUUUACAAGAUAUGCAGCUUUACGACAGAGGUCCCAGUUCAAUGCAAAGAUGACACUGACAAAAUUUCUACUCCCUGUCAGGAUGACUCAUUCGGUUUUAAUGGCAUUGUGGUCUUUGACGAUAAGUCUUACCCCUUAAGGAGGUGCACUCCAUUUGUGAAUUGGUCAGAAAAUUACAGGUCCAGUGUCAAGAUGAUCCGUGUGGUAGUGAAUGGGAAAAUAUCCUGAUAUAUACCACAUACACAUCUCAAGAAUCUCCUUGGCAGUGAAAUGCUUUGAGGAGAUUGAAUGUUUUCCGGAAUUGGACAACUCAUUUGGACCCAAUUAUGGCUGAGGAUGGAACAGGUCUUAGCCCUUAAAGAGAGAUGGUCCUCAUGAGGAAGAGAAGAAAUAAAAAACCCUCUAAAGAUGAAAUCCCAUAAUGUCAUUCUAUGACAUUCUUUGGUUUAACAAUAAAGCUAAUAAAUACAUUUGUUGUAGCCUACUUUGUUGUAUUUUGUGUGCAAAUGCAUUAUCACAUGCACAUUAUUAAAAUCUUUUGCAUCUUUAAGAAGUGUUUAUAGCAUACAGCACUUUUACAGAGAUUAACCAAAACCAGUUUAUACAAGACAUCAAAGC